AUGGCAACCAUAGCUGCUAGUGCCAGUCCAGCCAUGCAAGAAGCAGCAAAGACGCCGAGCGCAUCGCCGCCCCGCAUCAUGGCCGCCUCGACGGCCUCGCCGGCUCGUUACCGGCCUUCGCUUCUGGUCAUAUUCAGUGCCUGCCUCGUCCUGAUCGGCGCCGGCGGGCCGCUCUUGCUCCGCGUCUACUUCGUCCACGGCGGGCAACGCCUGUGGCUCUCCGCGCUGCUCCAGAUCUCCGGCUGGCCACUCCUCCUCCCGCCCCUGUGCGUCUCCCUCUUCCGCGGCCGCCGCCACGGCAUCGCCAACCUCCUCCUCCCGCUUCGCCUCGUCGGCGCGGCCGCCGUGCUUGGCAGUUUGUACGCUGUGUCGUGUUUCGUGUACGCGAUGGGGUCGCAGGCGCUGCCGCUGUCCACGUCGUCGCUGCUGCUGGCGACGCAGCUUGCCUUCACGGCCGUGUUCGCGUUCCUCUUCGUUGGGCUCCGCUUCACGCCCUUCUCAGCCAACGCCGUCAUGCUGCUCAUCAUCGGCCCGGCAGUGCUCGGUGUCGGGCCUGGGUCUGGGAAGCCGGCUGGCGAGCCAUCCAAGACGUACUGGACCGGGUUCUGCGAGGGCAUCGCUGCAGCGGCGCUCGCCGGGCUCGUGCUGCCGCUCGUUGAGGUCGCCAUGGAGCGAUACGGGCGCCGGACGGGACCCGCCGCGAGGAUACCGCCUCCCUACUCCACGGUCAUGCAGAUGUAG
rnacentral:rRNA from 1 species